rnacentral:rRNA from 1 species
AUAUAACUAAGCGGAGGAAAAGAAACUAACCAGGAUUCCCCUAGUAACGGCGAGUGAAGCGGGAAGAGCUCAAGCUGAAAAUCGGUGUGGCUCUGCCACUCUGAAUUGUAGUCUAUAGAAGCCGUUGUCAGUGAGCGUCCCGGGAGAAGUCUCUUGGAACAGGGCAUCAUAGAGGGUGAGAAUCCCGUCUGUGCCGGAAG